rnacentral:rRNA from 1 species
CAGCAGCCGCGGUAAUACGUAGGUGGCAAGCGUUGUCCGGAAUUAUUGGACGUAAAGGGCCCGCAGGCGGCUUCUUAAGUCUGAUGUGAAAGCCCCCGGCUCAACCGGGGAGGGUCAUUGGAAACUGGGAAACUUGAGUGCAGAAGAGGAGAGUGGAAUUCCACGUGUAGCGGUGAAAUGCGUAGAGAUGUGGAGGAACACCAGUGGCGAAGGCGACUCUCUGGUCUGUAACUGACGCUGAGGAGCGAAAGCGUGGGGAGCGAACAGGAUUAGAUACCCCCGUAGUCCCUGUCUCUUAUAC